GCAUAUCAAUAAGCGGAGGAAAAGAAACUAACAAGGAUUCCCCUAGUAACGGCGAGUGAAGCGGGAAGAGCACAAAUUUUAAAUCUACCUGGUUUUCAGGUCGAGUUGUAAUUUGAAGAAACGUUUUUUACGUUCCGGGUUGGAUUAAAUCCUUUGGGAUAAGGUAUCAUGGAGGGUGAGAAUCCCGUGUAUACCAACCACUGGAAUGUUAUUAAUACGAUUUCUAAGAGUCGAGUUGUUUGGGAAUGCAGCUCUAAAUGGGUGGUAAAUUUCACCUAAUGCUAAAUAUAAGCGAGAGACCGAUAGUGAACAAGUACCGUGAGGGAAAGAUGAAAAGAACUUUGAAAAGAGAGUUAAAUAGUACGUGAAAUUGUUGAAAGGGAAACGGUUGAAGUCAGUCAUACCGGUGGGAAUCAACUUAGGGGAAACUCUAAGUGCAUUUCUUCGCUUGGUAGGUUAGCGUCGAUUUUGGAUGUCAUAAAAUGACUGGGGGAAGGUAGCUCCUUCGGGAGUGUUAAGCCCUUAGUAGAUGUGAUGUCUGAGAUCGAGGAUUGCAACGGAUACCUUUUAGGUUAACCGCCUGGUCUCUAAUACGAACUUAGGUUACGGACAGCAUGCUGACUGUGAUCUAAUCUUCGGUUAAAAGAUUAGAGUGAGUGUAAAUUCGUUAAGGACGCUGACGUAAUGGCUUUAAACGAC
rnacentral:rRNA from 1 species